ACGAUUCUCUGAGAAGGACACGGUCUUCUGAUUUUCUUCACUCUGCUUUUUUUGCUAACAAAGGCUUUACAAGAUGUCUGUAAAUAGCACUGAGAGUAUAGACUAUGAUAUAAUCAUUGAGAAACUUAAGACCAUCAAUGAAAACCAAGUAAGUCUGCCUAUCAACAUAACCAAACCAAAAGACAUCCGUCAUGAGGUCGGGAUGGCCUACUUUAUUAUAUACUGUAUCAUUCUCAUCCAUGGCAUCACCCUCAACUUCUCCAUCAUUGUCUUCGGCUGCUGCAAACACAAGAGUCUCCCGAAAGCUGCUAUUUGGAUCAUGGCAUUGGCAGCAACACAUUUAGCCUCCUGUGUAUCUGUCGUGUUUCAGCUCCUGUAUGUUUACAAUGACUUUAAUUGGAAUUAUGGGGAUGUUAGCUGCAAGCUGUCAUCCUAUUUCACCUACGGCAGCAUGUUCUCCACUGCAAGCAUGCUCAGUCUCUGGAGCAUCAGUUCUAUUUUUUCAAACAGCGCAUGCUUCAACAAGAGCAAGAACUGUAACGUCAUUCUGAUUUCAUUCGCCUGGACCAUUGCAGCAAUCCUGGCAUGCCCUUCGCUGUUUUCAAGAGAGGUUAGAGAAAAACAGUGCAUUGAUGACUAUGAUUUGGACGACAAUUCAGAAACUGCAGAUGGCAUCAAAAGGCUACAGACUGUAGUUGUCAUGCGAUUUCUCACUGGACUUUUGUUGCCAGCUUUGAUAAUAUUUGUCAGCUGUUGUGUGGCAUCAAAAACAAGAAAAUGUAAAUUGUGCAAGAAGCAGGCAGAGAUCAUCUUUGCUAUAAAGAUCAUCUACUUUGUGUGCUGGG
ensembl:processed_transcript